GCUGCCUAUUACAUGCAAGUCGAGCGGACAGAUGGGAGCUUGCUCCCUGAUGUUAGCGGCGGACGGGUGAGUAACACGUGGGUAACCUGCCUGUAAGACUGGGAUAACUCCGGGAAACCGGGGCUAAUACCGGAUGCUUGUUUGAACCGCAUGGUUCAAACAUAAAAGGUGGCUUCGGCUACCACUUACAGAUGGACCCGCGGCGCAUUAGCUAGUUGGUGAGGUAAUGGCUCACCAAGGCGACGAUGCGUAGCCGACCUGAGAGGGUGAUCGGCCACACUGGGACUGAGACACGGCCCAGACUCCUACGGGAGGCAGCAGUAGGGAAUCUUCCGCAAUGGACGAAAGUCUGACGGAGCAACGCCGCGUGAGUGAUGAAGGUUUUCGGAUCGUAAAGCUCUGUUGUUAGGGAAGAACAAGUACCGUUCGAAUAGGGCGGUACCUUGACGGUACCUAACCAGAAAGCCACGGCUAACUACGUGCCAGCAGCCGCGGUAAUACGUAGGUGGCAAGCGUUGUCCGGAAUUAUUGGGCGUAAAGGGCUCGCAGGCGGUUUCUUAAGUCUGAUGUGAAAGCCCCCGGCUCAACCGGGGAGGGUCAUUGGAAACUGGGGAACUUGAGUGCAGAAGAGGAGAGUGGAAUUCCACGUGUAGCGGUGAAAUGCGUAGAGAUGUGGAGGAACACCAGUGGCGAAGGCGACUCUCUGGUCUGUAACUGACGCUGAGGAGCGAAAGCGUGGGGAGCGAACAGGAUUAGAUACCCUGGUAGUCCACGCCGUAAACGAUGAGUGCUAAGUGUUAGGGGGUUUCCGCCCCUUAGUGCUGCAGCUAACGCAUUAAGCACUCCGCCUGCGGAGUACGGUCGCAAGACUGAAACUCAAAGGAAUUGACGGAGGCCCGCACAAGCGCUGGAGCAUGUGGUUUAUUUCGAAGCAACGCGAAG
rnacentral:rRNA from 1 species